CGGAAAUGCUUGAGAAAAGAAAAGGGGACAUAAGCUUGAGGUUUUCAAUAACAAAUGCUCUUAUACCUAGAAAUUUCUAGGAACAUAAGUUUGGCAUAAAUUCAUAAUCUAUAUAUAUAUAUAUAUAUAUAUAUAUAUAUAUAUAUAUAUAUAUAUAUAUAUAUAUAUAUAUAUAUAUAUAUAUACAUAUAUAUAUAUCGAUAUCUCACAAUAGAACAUUAUCGUAAACAUGCAGUUUUUGAGAAAUAUUUUUGGGCUUAAGUUGGUAUUAAUUAUUACAAGUGAAGUAUUCCAAGGAAUUUGAUAGCAGCACUGUUCU
rnacentral:lncRNA from 1 species